rnacentral:rRNA from 1 species
UACGAAGGGGGCUAGCGUUGCUCGGAAUCACUGGGCGUAAAGCGCACGUAGGCGGCUUUCUAAGUCAGGGGUGAAAUCCUGGAGCUCAACUCCAGAACUGCCUUUGAUACUGCCGUGCUUGAGGACUGGAGAGGAGACUGGAAUUUACGGUGUAGCGGUGAAAUGCGUAGAUAUCGUAAGGAAGACCAGUGGCGAAGGCGGGUCUCUGGACAGUUCCUGACGCUGAGGCACGAAGGUCAGGGGAGCAAACGGG